rnacentral:rRNA from 1 species
CCGUAGCUUGCUCCAGCCGAGAAAAAGAAGAGUGGCAGAACGGGUGAGUAACACGGUGGGUAACCUGCCCAUCAGAAGGGGAUAACACUUGGAAACAGGUGCUAAUACCGUAUAACAAUCGAAACCGCAUGGUUUUGAUUUGAAAGGCGCUUUCGGGUGUCGCUGAUGGAUGGACCCGCGGUGCAUUAGCUAGUUGGUGAGGUAACGGCUCACCAAGGCCACGAUGCAUAGCCGACCUGAGAGGGUGAUCGGCCACAUUGGGACUGAGACACGGCCCAAACUCCUACGGGAGGCAGCAGUAGGGAAUCUUCGGCAAUGGACGAAAGUCUGACCGAGCAACGCCGCGUGAGUGAAGAAGGUUUUCGGAUCGUAAAACUCUGUUGUUAGAGAAGAACAAGGAUGAGAGUAACUGUUCAUCCCUUGACGGUAUCUAACCAGAAAGCCACGGCUAACUACGUGCCAGCAGCCGCGGUAAUACGUAGGUGGCAAGCGUUGUCCGGAUUUAUUGGGCGUAAAGCGAGCGCAGGCGGUUUCUUAAGUCUGAUGUGAAAGC